GAUUACAGUGUGCACUGCCACACCCUGCUCUGGAGCCUCGGGGGACUCUCUCAGGCUGAAACCAGUGCCCCUGGAGAAGAAGUUCUAUGUUUUGGGAGCAUUUAUGAAUCAACACCAUCCGAACUGACAGUGAAAGCUAAGUUGUCACUGAAGCUCUCAGUGUGUUUCCAUCAGAGGCAGAGUAUAGUCCCUGAGAACCACCCAGUUUCCCGCCUCCUUUUUGGCACUUACAAGCUGUAUGACCCGUGUCUGUGGCUCAAUCCCCCCCCCCAUAAAGUGGAUUUAUAAGAUCACCCACCCCGCUGGCACAAGUGCUGUGACACGACGUUCAGUGGAUUUGUGAGGUACCCUGAGCCACACUGUCAGGUACACUCAGCCUUCACACAUCCUUGUUUUGGUCCUGCCUCGUUAUGCUCGCUUUCCUGGAACUCAUCGUUCUGGGUGGUAAUUACUUGUCCCUGCAAGACUGAGAGGUCCUGAAGGGCAGGGAGUACGUCUUAUUCCCUGCUGUGUCUCGAGCUCCUUGGCAGAGAAAAUUCUAAAGAACUAUUGAGGAUUGAAUGAGUGAGAUCAGAAAUACAAAAACGGCUCAUAUAGGGAGCUGAUUUAAGAGAAUUACACAAAUCGUUUCCCAGCACUUGUUUCCUGGUAAUGGGAAGAAUCAGUUUCUUCUGAUGUAGUGAAAGGGCACAUGGGUGGGUUGGAACUUCUUGAAAUUUUGUUCUUGCACUGGUGCACGCACCGGUGUAGCUUAGACUUAUGUCAUAGAGCCAGUGCUCAUUAGACAGGUGUGUUGCUGGCAGUUAUUUGCGUCCCCUAGAAUGUUCCCUGGCUGAGUUCUGACACACAAGGACAGGACAGGGACCAUGUUUUGUUCUCUGGUACAUCUUUGGCACAUGAGAACUUGUCAUCCCCUCAAAUAAGCAACAAGUCAACAUUUGUUGAAUGAAUGAAUGAAUAAAUGUCUACUAAGUGUUCAUUCAUUUUUAUUAUUAGCAUAACAAAAUAAGUUAUCAUUCAAGAAAGUUUAAAGGAACUUUAUUUACAAAAGGUUUGAAUCCAAAGCAUCUUUUCCAUCCUACUCUUGGACCUUCAGAUUAAGCCAUUCCAGUCCCCAUAGAAUGAAAAGGUUUCUGUUCGCAGAAAGCCAUUUACCAGGGUCACUAAGCAAACAGGAGAAAUGGAACAAAAUGAUACAAUCUGUGGUGCUUCCCCUGUGGGAUUUUCUGAGUUCUUUUGGGGCACGACCACUGGCUGAUUAAAUUGACUUCUUGGUUGAAGAAGAGGAAGAAAAAUGCAUUUCCAUUAUCCAGGACUUCCUGUGAGUUGUGGGACUCUAUCCAGCCUUCACCAAGCUUCCUCCCUUGGAAUGGCUGUAGUUGGAAACACAGAUAAACCACAAAACAUUCAUUUGGUAGGUUUUCGGGUUUUACUUAUAAAUCAAGACGAGGCAGUAGAUAAGAGUCAUGGGAAAAGACAGAAGAAAACAGACAUGUCAGUUGCCUGCAUGGAUGGCCUCUCAUUCUGUCUUGACGGUGAAGCAGCAGUGUUCAAUAUUCACCUACCAAGAAGCUUAUGAAGAUGUAGGCCCCAUGAAGGAAUGUAAACAGCAACAACCAGACAUGGAAUGACAGCAGCAACUUCUUCCAUUCAAGCUUCAACUGUAACCUCUUCUUUUAAUUUCCUUUAAUGAAGACAGAAUCUACACUGAAAUCAGGGUUAAAGGUCAAAUGUCUUCAUCCUGCUCAUUGCCCCUGAAGUCCGCACUGGGAUUCCAAGCAUUGCUAUUUCAUCAAUUUUCUUCUGUUUCGGUGUCCUGAUUUCAUCUGCACUCAGUUCUUUUAUUUGUUUUCAGUGUUGACUAUGUGGAUUGUACAAAUGACUGGUAUCUUAUUGAUGAAUCACACUGAUCCUUACAACCAUAAGAAGGAGGCAUGGAGAAACCAAAGAUAAAUAAAGUUAAGAGCUUUGCUUAACAUCUUGUCCCAGAUGGUAUCAAACUCAGGACCUUGCGCAUGUGAGGAAGGUGG